AAGCAAUUUAUUUUAGUUUUUUACAGUAUACUAUUAUAUUGAUUGAAAUUAGACUUGCAUUAACAUGAUAAACAUCCCUAAGGAUGAAGUACUAUGAAAACAGUUGAUACAAAAUGUUCAUCAAGAAAAGUGGUCACCCAAAAAGCAGAUGUUUAUAUGUUCUGACCACUUUUGUUCUGGUUGCAUUGUCCAUACUGUUCUGUUCUCAGAAAGCAGACACUUAUAUGCUCUGACCACUUCUGUUCUGGCUUCAUUGUUCAUUGUCCAUAUGUUCUGGCUUCAUUGUCCAUACACAAUCUUUUUACUGAGCUAGAUCACCAUAUUUUUAACUCACCAGUUGGUGAAAAUAUGUUAUAUUUCAGUUAACCAAGAGCAUCAUCAAGAGUUACUGUGAGGUUAAAUUUUACCAUCUUGGAAAAAAGACCACUGAGAAUUCAUCUGGACAAAAAAUUAAAAAGAAAUUAAAUAAACUUGUACCUUUUACUGUAAGCACCAGUGUGAGUGAUUACACAGAAUGUAUCAGAGAAAGCUAAAUAUUACUAAAAUUUAC